UGGGGGAUAUUGCACAAUGGGGGAAACCCUGAUGCAGCAACGCCGCGUGAGGGAAGAAGGUUUUCGGAUUGUAAACCUCUGUCCUUGGUGAAGAUAAUGACGGUAGCCGAGGAGGAAGCUCCGGCUAACUACGUGCCAGCAGCCGCGGUAAUACGUAGGGAGCAAGCGUUGUCCGGAUUUACUGGGUGUAAAGGGUGCGUAGGCGGCUUAGCAAGUCAGACGUGAAAUGCAGAGGCUUAACUUCUGAACUGCGUUUGAAACUGUUAGGCUUGAGUGAAGCAGAGGUAGGCGGAAUUCCCGGUGUAGCGGUGAAAUGCGUAGAGAUCGGGAGGAACACCAGUGGCGAAGGCGGCCUACUGGGCUUUAACUGACGCUGAGGCACGAAAGCGUGGGUAGCAAACAGG
rnacentral:rRNA from 1 species